GGAGAGGUGGCCGAGUGGUUGAAGGCGCAGCACUGGAAAUGCUGUAAUGGGGUAACUUAUUCGUGGGUUCAAAUCCCACCCUCUCCG
rnacentral:tRNA from 1 species